rnacentral:lncRNA from 1 species
AUGAAAGUAAGCUUUACAUGUUGCCUUCUCUGCCUCCUUCAUCUUCCCCUUCACUGUAAAAGUUCUUUUCCCAUCUCUUUUAUGUAUGAUAAUUUACCUCAUUCUAUUUCCCCCCCAUUCCCCUCUUCUAAUGCAGUCCUCUUUCUCAUAUCUUAUUUUUAUAUUUUGUAUCAUCCCAUCAUAUUCACAUCAUACCCUUGCCCUCUGUCUAUGUAUACUCCAUCUAACUGCCUUAAUAAUGAUAAAAUUGCAAGAACCAUCUCCUCACGUAGACAUUUCUUUAGGAAUUAUUUAAAGUUCUCUAUAUCUUUGAACACUCAUUUUUUUUUCUCUUAAGGAUUAUGCUCAGUUUUGUUGCCUAAGUGAUUCUUGAAUGAAGUCCUAGCUCUUUUGCCUUCUGGAAUACCAUAGACUAGGCCCUAUGAUUUUUUAUUGUAGAAGCUGCUGAAUCUUGUAUUAUUCUGGCUUUGGUUCUGUGGUAUUGAACUAUUUCUUUUUGGAUAUUUGCAGUAUUUUUUCCUUGAUCUGGGAGUUCUGGAACUUGGUUAUAACAUUCUCUGGAUUUAUCCCUUUGGAUCUCUUUUAGGAGGUGUUUGGUAGAUUCUUUCAAUUUCUGUUUUGUCCUCUGGCUCUAGAAUAUCAGGGCAAUAAUCCUUGAUAGUUUAUUGAAAGAUAAUGUCUAGAUUCUUUUUUUUUUAUUAUGACUUUCAUACAGUCCAAUAAUUCUUUGAUUAUCCAUCUUGGAUUUAUUUUUCAGGUCAGUUGUUUUUCCAUUGAGAUAUUUCACAUUUUCUUCUAUUUGUUUUUCAUUCUUUUGAGUUUGUUUCUUGAUAUAUCACAGAGUCAUUAUCUUCUACUUGCCCAAUUCUAAUUUUUCAAACAUAAUUUUCUUGAGUGAAUUUUAGUACUUCAUUUUUCAUUUGGUCAAUUCUACUUUGUAAAGAGUUCUUUUUCUCAGUGAUUUUUUGUGCUUUUUUCUAUAUGGCUAAUUCUGCCUUUUAAGAAGUUCUUCUCAUGAUUGCAUUUUCGGAUAUCUUUUAUCCAUUUGGCCAAUUUUUCUUUUUAAAAAGUUAUCUUCAUUGGAUUUUUCUGCCUCUUGUACCAAUUGGUCUAUUCUUUUUUAAGGUAUUAAUUUCUUCGGGAUUUGUUUGUGCCUCCUUUACCAAGUUGCUGACUCCUUUUUAAUGCUUUUCCUGUAUCAUUCUCAUUUCUUUGCCCAAGUUUUCUUCUACUUCUUUUAUUUGAUUUUUAAAUCUUUUUUGAAGUCCUCCAAUAAUUCCUUUUGGGCUUGAAAGCAAUUUAUGUUUUUUUUUUUUUUCUUGAAGAUUUUGAAUGC